rnacentral:rRNA from 1 species
AUUGAACGCUGGCGGCAGGCUUAACACAUGCAAGUCGAACGAGUGGCGGACGGGUGAGUAAUGCUUGGGAAUCUGGCUAAUGGAGGGGGAUACCGACGGGAAACUGUCGAUACUACCGCGUACUAUAGGAGGGGCCCAAGUGUGAUUAGGUAGUUGGCGGGGUAAUGGCGUACCAAGCCGACGAUCACGCGCUGGUCUGAGAGGAUCAACAGCGACACCGGGACGUAGAAACGGCCCGGACUCCUACGUGAGGCAGCAGUGGGGAAUAUUGCACAAUGGGGGCAAGCGGACAACGCGAUGCCGCGUGAAUGAAGAAGGCCUUCAGGUUGGAAAGUGCUUUCGGUAAAGAGGCGUUAGUUACAGAAGAAGCACCGGCUAACUCCGUGCCAGCAGCCGCGGUAAUUC